ensembl:snoRNA
CGUCUCCCAUGAUGCCUUGCACUGGGCUCCGAGUCACCGUGACGACCAGAGUGCGGCCCCGCCCCUGACAAGGCGGGGCCUGAGGAGACA